GUAGGGAAUCUUCCGCAAUGGACGCAAGUCUGACGGAGCAACGCCGCGUGAGUGACGAAGGUUUUCGGAUCGUAAAACUCUGUUGUGAGGGAAGAACACGUACCAACUAACUAUUGGUACCUUGACGGUACCUCACCAGAAAGCCACGGCUAACUACGUGCCAGCAGCCGCGGUAAUACGUAGGUGGCAAGCGUUGUCCGGAAUUAUUGGGCGUAAAGCGCGCGCAGACGGCUCCUUAAGUCUGAUGUGAAAGCCCACGGCUCAACCGUGGAGGGUCAUUGGAAACUGGGGAACUUGAGUGCAGAAGAGGAAAGUGGAAUUCCACGUGUAGCGGUGAAAUGCGUAGAGAUGUGGAGGAACACCAGUGGCGAAGGCGACUUUCUGGUCUGUAACUGACGCUGAGGCGCGAAAGCGUGGGGAGCAAACAGGAUUAGAUACCCCGGUAGUCC
rnacentral:rRNA from 1 species